AUUGAACGCUGGCGGCAGGCUUAACACAUGCAAGUCGAGCGGGGUGAUGGUGCUUGCACUAUCACUUAGCGGCGGACGGGUGAGUAAUGCUUAGGAAUCUGCCUAUUAGUGGGGGACAACAUCUCGAAAGGGAUGCUAAUACCGCAUACGUCCUACGGGAGAAAGCAGGGGAUCACUUGUGAACUUGCGCGAAUAGAUGAGCCUAAGUCGGAUUAGCUAGUUGGUGGGGUAAAGGCCUACCAAGGCGACGAUCUGUAGCGGGUCUGAGAGGAUGUUCCGCCACACUGGGACUGAGACACGGCCCAGACUCCUACGGGAGGCAGCAGUGGGGAAUAUUGGACAAUGGGGGGAACCCUGAUCCAGCCAUGCCGCGUGUGUGAAGAAGGCCUUAUGGUUGUAAAGCACUUUAAGCGAGGAGGAGGCUCUUUUGGUUAAUACCCAAGAUGAGUGGACGUUACUCGCAGAAUAAGCACCGGCUAACUCUGUGCCAGCAGCCGCCGUAA
rnacentral:rRNA from 1 species